rnacentral:sRNA from 1 species
ACACGAGAAGGGAGGUGGUUCGGCAGAUGAUUUCGCACCGGACGCGUGAGGUGGCUGCGGGCUAGCGCCCGACGCUCCACCGAAGUGCAGCGCCGGAUCCGCGCAUACUGCAGAUGCGCAGCCGGCCCAAUCCCAAAGCAGUCACCCGACCCGCGGGCUGCCGGUUCGUCCGACCGGCCCUUCGCGCCACCGAGCGCGGAGGAAACAGCCCGCGGGUCGUCUGCG